rnacentral:tRNA from 1 species
GCGCCGGUGGUGUAAUGGCGUAGAGCAUUCCCGCCCGGUCAGAGGGAGGUGCGGGUUCGAGUCCCGCCUGGCCCU